AGCGAACGCUGGCGGCAGGCUUAACACAUGCAAGUCGAACGGUCCUUCGGGAUAGUGGCGGACGGGUGAGUAACACGUGGGAACGUACCCUUAGGUUCGGAACAACACGGGGAAACUUGUGCUAAUACCGGAUAAGCCCUUCGGGGGAUAGAUUUAUCGCCUUUGGAGCGGCCCGCGUCUGAUUAGCUUGUUGGUGAGGUAAUGGCUCACCAAGGCUACGAUCAGUAGCUGGUCUGAGAGGAUGGCCAGCCACACUGGGACUGAGACACGGCCCAGACUCCUACGGGAGGCAGAAGUGGGUAAUCUUGCGCAAUGGGCGAAAGCCUGACGCAGCCAUGCCGCGUGAGUGAUGAAGGCCUUAGGGUUGUAAAGCUCUUUUACCCGGGAUGAUAAUGACAGUACCGGGAGAAUAAGCUCCGGCUAACUCCGUGCCAGCCGCCGCGGUAA
rnacentral:rRNA from 1 species